AUUGAACGCUGGCGGCAUGCCUUACACAUGCAAGUCGAACGGCAGCACGGGAGCAAUCCUGGUGGCGAGUGGCGAACGGGUGAGUAAUAUAUCGGAACGUGCCCAGUCUGGGGGAUAACGUAGCGAAAGCUACGCUAAUACCGCAUACGAUCUACGGAUGAAAGCGGGGGAUCGCAAGACCUCGCGCGAUUGGAGCGGCCGAUAUCAGAUUAGGUAGUUGGUGAGGUAAAGGCGUCACCAAGCCGACGAUCUGUAGCUGGUCUGAGAGGACGACCAGCCACACUGGGACUGAGACACGGCCCAGACUCCUACGGGAGGCAGCAGUGGGAAUUUUGGGACAAUGGGCGCAAGCCUGAUCCAGCAAUGCCGCGUGCAGGA
rnacentral:rRNA from 1 species